ensembl:lncRNA
ACCGUUGAAGAGCGAGCAGCUAAAUCUCGCGUCUCUUGUUGAAGUGGUUUUUAAAAGGAUUUAAAGCUUUCUUUGUUCUAUUUUAACCACUAGUUGAUACUAUUAUAAGUCAUUUACUUUUAGACAACCAAAGACUAUUUGUUUUUCUUGGCAAUGUUUCUUGAAAUCACGACAAUGAAAGGAAACUACCAGAAGGACAUCAAGACCGCGCCUGUUCACAAGAAAAAGUGGUCAAAACCGAAGAGGAGGACAUUUCUGCGCUCAAAUAUGGGCGAAAGGAGAAGAAGGGUCCGCGUCUGGUCGUCCACGAGACCGCAGCGGAGUCCGGACCAUGUCGACAGGACAGCUACGGGGAAUCAACGUCACCUAACAGUAGCCAUGGCACCAAGAAACACGACGCAAUAUUUAAUGGACCUGGUGUACGCUGAGCGAUUAGACGUUUCAAUGGAGGCAUGUGACAUCUUUGGACUUUCAGCAGCGAGACUUCGAGAGCGUGUUCUUCAGGAAUGAAAUCUGACGUGUUUUCCAAAACCUGACUCGAUUUCGUCGGAACGAGGCGACCGGGCUGCUGUGUAACCAUAGACAGUAACAUCAUUGCGCAGUCUCCAACUCUGGGAGGCGGAACGCUCUGCGUCACAGCUGCGCGAUGACGUGUACGCCCCGCCCUCAGCACGGCCACCAUCACGUGGCCAGCAGGUAAACCCGCUCCACCCUUUGUGUACGCGGUGUAAGAGCGUUGCAGUAACGUGCAGUCGCAGUGUAAUUGCUGAGGAGUGUGCAUGCAUUGUU